rnacentral:rRNA from 1 species
GACGAACGCUGGCGGCGUGCUUAACACAUGCAAGUCGAGCGGUAAGGCCCUUUUGGGGGACACGAGCGGCGAACGGGUGAGUAACACGUGGGUGACCUGCCCUCAGCUCUGGGAUAAGCCUGGGAAACUGGGUCUAAUACUGGAUAUGACCUUUCCUCGCAUGGGGUUGGGUGAAAGUUUUCGCUGGGAUGGCCCGCGGCCUAUCAGCUUGUUGGUGGGGUGAUGGCCUACCAAGGCGACGACGGGUAGCCGGCCCUGAGAGGGCGACCGGCCACACUGGGACUGAGACACGGCCCAGACUCCUACGGGAGGCAGCAGUGGGGAAUAUUGCGCAAUGGGCGGAAGCCUGACGCAGCGACGCCGCGUGGGGGAUGACGGCCUUCGGUUGUAACCUAC